rnacentral:rRNA from 1 species
UGGGGAAUAUUGGACAAUGGGCGAAAGCCUGAUCCAGCCAUGCCGCGUGUGUGAAGAAGGUCUUCGGAUUGUAAAGCACUUUAAGUUGGGAGGAAGGGCAGUAAGCGAAUACCUUGCUGUUUUGACGUUACCGACAGAAUAAGCACCGGCUAACUCUGUGCCAGCAGCCGCGGUAAUACAGAGGGUGCAAGCGUUAAUCGGAAUUACUGGGCGUAAAGCGCGCGUAGGUGGUUCGUUAAGUUGAAUGUGAAAGCCCCGGGCUCAACCUGGGAACUGCAUCCAGAACUGGCGAGCUAGAGUAGGGCAGAGGGUGGUGGAAUUUCCUGUGUAGCGGUGAAAUGCGUAGAUAUAGGAAGGAACACCAGUGGCGAAGGCGACCACCUGGGCUCAUACUGACACUGGGGUGCGAAAGCGUGGGGAGCAAACAGG